rnacentral:rRNA from 1 species
GAUGAACGCUAGCUACAGGCUUAACACAUGCAAGUCGAGGGGCAGCAUGAACUUAGCUUGCUAAGUUUGAUGGCGACCGGCGCACGGGUGAGUAACACGUAUCCAACCUGCCGAUGACUCGGGGAUAGCCUUUCGAAAGAAAGAUUAAUACCCGAUGGCAUAGUUCUUCCGCAUGGUAGAACUAUUAAAGAAUUUCGGUCAUCGAUGGGGAUGCGUUCCAUUAGGUUGUUGGCGGGGUAACGGCCCACCAAGCCUUCAAUGGAUAGGGGUUCUGAGAGGAAGGUCCCCCACAUUGGAACUGAGACACGGUCCAAACUCCUACGGGAGGCAGCAGUGAGGAAUAUUGGUCAAUGGACGAGAGUCUGAACCAGCCAAGUAGCGUGAAGGAUGACUGCCCUAUGGGUUGUAAACUUCUUUUAUACGGGAAUAAAGUGAGGCACGUGUGCCUUUUUGUAUGUACCGUAUGAAUAAGGAUCGGCUAACUCCGUG